GCCUUCGUGGUGUAGUGGUCAGCACGCUCGACGCGAAUUCGAGAGGUCUGUGGUUCGAUUCGAGGCGAGGGCU
rnacentral:tRNA from 1 species